CCCGGCCUGGUUGGUGGUGGUCUUGUCGUUGUCGUUGACGAAACUCUGGUCGCCCGGGCGUUCCAUCACCGGGUCGGCGC
rnacentral:tRNA from 1 species